CGGCGCCGGCAAUGCAAAGCUCAGCUGUACAUGGAACUGAACAUGACAAGUCAUCCACUCCACAAGAAACAGGGGGUAUAGAUGGCAUCGAGGCUGAGGCGACCCAAGGUACUAGUACAGAACCUGGACAAACUAAAAGGAGGAAACUUACAUCUGAAGUAUCGACAAAAUAUCUUCUAUUCGUCUAGCAAUACGAAAAUGGUCUACUAGUGAGCAUGUUCCUUUGCAAAAGAUGUCUGAGGAAAUGAAGACGAAGUUUGAGAAGUAUUGGAAAGAAGUCCAUGGUCUUAUGUCUGUGGCAACAGUCCUUGAUCCAAGAUAUAAGCUUCAUACGUUGCAAGCUUUGUUUGUCUCUCUCUAUGGGUUUGAACAUGCAACUACAGAAGUGGAGAAAAUUAGAAAGUUAAUGGGUGAUUUGUUGCUAGAAUAUCAAGCAUCUGAUGGUGGUGUGGGUACCUCGGAGUCACAGGUAGGUAGGAGUGUUUCUACCCAAGGUGGUGCUGCAGUAGAUGAAAUGGAGAAUAUAUUUAAACAAUAUAUGUCCUCGAAGUCUGUUACGAGUGCUUCUCAUGUGCGGAUAGAACUGGACUUAUAUUUGGAAGAGGAAAUUAUCCAUAGGCCAGAGGGUCUCGACAUCAUCAAUUGGUGGCAGUUUGGAGGUAUCAAGUAUCCUACAUUGCGAAGAAUGGCUCAUGAUAUACUAGCCAUUCCUGUAACAACCGUGCGUUGGAAUCUGUCUUCAGUACUAGUGGGAGAAUACUAAGUGCACAUAGAUGUUCACUUGCACCAAACAUGACCGAAGCUCUUAUGUGUAUGCAAGCUUGGUCCCGUGCAGACAUGUUAGGGGAUUGAAAUUCUACUCUCUUUGCGGACUUCGAAACUGUUCUUAAGGAUGACACAGAAAUGAUGGAGGUUGAUGAUCAAUCCAUCCUAACUGAAGCCUGAAACAUGAUUGUAUGAUGUUGCUGCUGCUGCUUGGUUGCGACGAGAAGGCCGACGACCCGGCGUGCUACACUACUACCUGCUGUUAUUUACAUUUAUCCAUGGGCUGCUACACUGCUAGCUUGUUGGCACACAACUACUCAACCUGAACCUUGUAUUUGUGCAUUUGUGCUGCUGCUGAACCUUGUAUUUCUGCUGCUAUUUGUGCACCUGAACCUUGUAUUUCUGCUCCUGAACCUUGUAUUUGUGCUUCUGAAGACCUGCACCAUGUAUUUGUGAUGCUAUUUGUGCUCCUGAACCUUGUAUUUGGCUUCCUGAUACUGUGUUUUCUAUUUGUUCUACUAUAUAUUCACAUUGAUGGUUAG